ACUGCUGGUGGGAAUGUAAACUUGUACAACCAUUCUGGAAAGCAAUCUGGUGUUUCCUCAGACAACUAGGAAUAGCACUUCCUCAAGAUCCAGCUAUAUCACU
rnacentral:precursor_RNA from 1 species